GGUUCGAUGGCGUAGUUGGUUAUCGCAUCUGUCUAACAUUGUAUGUUUGCACAGAAGGUCCUCAGUUCGAGCCUGGGUCGAAUCA